rnacentral:lncRNA from 1 species
AAGCGUCCCCCUUGAGGACAAUGAGAGACUGCUUGAUGGAAGCCUUGUGGAAAGCGUAAAUACGGUGGGAUUAACGGCGAAUUCAAAUGGCGCAAUAAAUGUGGAGAAAGCCGGAUCAGUGAAGUGGUGGAAGGUUAUACACUAUUCUGUGGAAAGAUAACGGAUAUGAGAAAAAUAGACAGAUUGGAUCUCGCUCUGCCGGGAUUUUAUCAGUUUGCUUUCUCCGGGGCUGCCUGGCUCUCAUUGUGUGUGUGUCACUCUUGCUCUCCCCGUCUCUCUCUCAAGGCCUGUCACUGCCAGUGUCUCUCCCUCUGUCUCCCUCUGUCUCUCGGCCUGUCUCCUCACCUCUAGUCCCAGCAUGAGUUCAAUUAAACCACCGUCUGACUCCCAGGCCCCUGGGCGCCCGGGUAUUGGCCGUCCCCUGAAAGGUCCUCAUUAUGCGCCCCUUAAAAGAAAAUACUUUUAUUUGCUUUGACAAGAUUUUAUUUGGGCUUAAAGUUUUCCCACCAAACACCACCGCCCGCCGUCCCCACCACCAGUCCCCCCAACACACACAUACACACACCAACUCCAAUCAUCCCGCUUCAUAAUCCUCAUCCAAAAAAGGGAGGGAAAUAUGCAGCCCCUAUUUCCACCAGGCCGAAUCAAUGUCAUGCUUGGAGAUGACAGUAGGGAGCGAGAGAGAGAGAGAGAGAGUGAGUAAGAGGGAGCAGGGAAAAGAGAGAGAGGCGUGGACUCACCAGCCCGGACACAAAAUUAAAUAUGGAUCCACCGAAUACUGGGCGGAAACCGCUCGCAAGAAAGCAUGCACGCGUGUGUGGGUGUGGCUGUUUUGUUUUAUUAAUACAAAUGAGCACCCGAAAUAAGGCCCACUUGUAUUCACGAUAAGAAAAAUAAUUAUAUUUAAUAGUUAUCAUUCAUUCAUAUUGGUAGUAGUAGUGGUAGUUGAUGUGGUAUAAAUAGUUGUAGCAGUAGCAGUCAUACUUAGUAAAGUGGUAGUUUUAUAGGCUCUGUUUUUCAUGCGUUUUAUAGAUCCUUUAUGGAAGACAUUUUAAUGUUCACACAUUGAGCAUAUACAUCAAAAUUAUGAUUGCUAU